AUGGUGGGACCAUUCAAGACGGCCCGAGGCGGCCUAACUCAUCUGCUUGUCGCGGUGGACAAGUUCACCAAGUGGAUAGAAGCAAAGCCCAUCAAGAAGUUGAACGGUCCGACUGCAGUGACUUUCAUCGCCGACAUCACGGUGCAGUACGGCAUACCGCACAGCAUCAUCACCGACAACGGCACAAAUUUCGCCAAAGGCGCCUUGGCCUGUUUCUGCGCGACACAGGGCAUCCGACUGGACUUAGCGUCCGUUGCCCAUCCGCAGUCAAACGGCCAGGUGGAGCGAGCAAACGGCCUCAUCCUGUCCGGCAUCAAGCCUCGACUGGUCGAACCACUCGAGCGUUCGGCCGGCUGUUGGCUUGAGGAGCUGCCAGCCGUCCUCUGGAGUCUGCGUACGACUCCAAACAAGUCAACUGGCUUCACGCCUUUCUUCCUCGUCUACGGUGCCGAAGCUGUCAUCCCGACGGACAUAGAGUUCGACUCUCCACGAGUCACCAUGUACACCGAAGAGGAAGCUGAAGAAGCACGUCAAGACGGUGUCGACCUGCUGGAAGAGGGUCAGCUGUUGGCACUCAGCCGGUUCGGCAUCUACCAGCAGAGUCUGCGCCGAUACUACAACCGAAAGGUCAGGCCGAGAUCGUUCAAGAGGGCGACCUUGUGCUCCGGCUGA
rnacentral:rRNA from 1 species